AACAAUAAAACAACAUAUGUAUAUAGUAGAUACAAUAUACGUAUCGAUACACACACAUGUUUUCGUAUAUUUAUAUGUAUAUAUAUGUAGGUGUUCGUCUUCAUCGCUCCACACGUUGCAUUUCAGCUUCUACACUACAUGUCUACAUAGCUUUCGCUCUACACCUCUCUCACUCACUCACUCUCCACAAACACGCCGUCUCUCCCUCUCUCUCUACGCUACCCGUUUCUUGCCUAAAUCUCCGCUCUCUCGCUCCAAUUCCAUCCCCAUAUUUCCACCCUUCACAAAAUCUGACACUUGCUGCAUUCGGAGAGAGCCUCAUUAACAAAUAAAUCAACGUGCACGAGGCGAAUUUAACCAAUCGAAAUUAUUUUUUUUAUUAUUGGCUUUGUUGGAAGAAGGGGAUUGAAUCUCGGCGUCUGUGUUUGAAUAGUAUUCGUAUCUACCUGUAUAUAUCUAUAUUUAGGUAAUCGGCGUUGGAGAUGAGGAUGGGUGGUGAAAUCGAAGCCUACUGUAAAGAACAAAACGAUGAGAAAAAGAUUGUAGAAGACAGGGAGGUGGAGGACGAGAAAAUGGUGGCGAAGAUGAGAUAUUCCGCGGCUGCGAUCGGUGGAGGCUUUUCUCCGCCGCAGGCUGUCGUCGUCGGCUACGCCCUUACUUCGAAGAAGACUAAGAGCUUUCUUCAACCCAAGCUCGAAGGAUUAGCGAGGAACAAAGGAAUUCUAUUUGUGGCUAUUGACCUCAGUAAACCACUUUCAGAUCAGGGUCCCUUUGACAUUGUGUUACAUAAGUUAUCUGGAAAAGAAUGGCGAUGCAUACUUGAGGAUUAUCGUAUAACACAUCCCAACGUCACAGUUCUUGAUCCUCCUGAUGCCAUACAGCAUGUGUACAGCCGUCAGUCUAUGCUCGAAGUAGUUGCCGAGCUGAAUCUGACAGACCCGUAUGGAAAAGUGGGCGUACCUGAACAGUUGGUUAUCAAGAAAGAUUCAUCAUCUAUUCCGGAUUCUGUGAAUAUGGCUGGAUUGCGGCUACCGCUGGUGGCAAAGCCGUUAUUUGCAAAGUCACAUGAGCUGUCUCUGGCAUAUGAUGAGUUGUCCCUCCAUAAGCUUGAGCCCCCACUUGUUCUGCAAGAAUUUAUUAAUCAUGGGGGCGUACUCUUCAAAGUUUAUAUUGUUGGAGAAGCAAUAAAGGUACUCAGACGUUUCUCGUUGCCAGAUGUCAGUAAGUGUGAGCUGAAAUCGAGUGCAGGUGUUUAUCGUUUCCCUCGAGUAUCUUGUGCUGCUGCAUCUGCUGAUGAAGCAGACUUGGAUCCUCAUGUUGCUGAGCUCCCUCCAAGACCGUUACUUGAAAGACUGGCUAAAGAACUACGACACCGGCUGGUAGUCUUGUUGCCCAUUUUGUUCUUGAAUCCGUUACGGUCUCCGGUUGUUUAAUUUGGAUAUGAUUCGUGAGCAUGGAACUCGAGACCGUUACUACAUAAUAGACAUUAACUAUUUUCCAGGAUACGGGAAGAUGCCCGAAUAUGAGCAUAUUUUUACAGAUUUCCUUUUGAGCCUGGUUCAAAGCAAAUGAAAAGUGUUAAAGCCCGAGAAGAGACUUCUGAAAGAUGUAUAAACGAUGCUCGUGCUGCACAAGACCCAAAGCAAAACCAUAUUAAUGGUGUCAUUUGAAGUGCAAAGAAUAUUGAAAAUCUGUUCCCUUCCUGGCUGAUCCUAGGCGAAGGUUGUCGCUUCAAGGGCAAUCGUCUCGUUGGUGGACGGAAGCCUUGCCCAAUUUCUCUUCCACAUUGUAUGUUUUGUGAUGGGGUGGUAGGUGGUGAUUGUGGGUCUUGAUGCUUAGAUCAAGUAGCCAAUCCCAUCUCCUUUGUAAAUCCUUCUUUUAAACAAGCAUCAUGUAAAGUCUCUUUAUAGGUAAUUUAGCUUUUCAUCGUCUCAUUUCUUUUA